rnacentral:rRNA from 1 species
UGGGGAAUAUUGAGCAAUGGGCGCAAGCCUGACCCAGCAACGCCGCGUGAAGGAAGAAGGCUUUCGGGUUGUAAACUUCUUUUGUCAGGGACGAAGCAAGUGACGGUACCUGACGAAUAAGCCACGGCUAACUACGUGCC